rnacentral:rRNA from 1 species
UAAUACGGAGGGUGCAAGCGUUAUUCGGAAUUAUUGGGCGUAAAGGGCGCGUAGGCGGCCUUUUAAGUCAGAUGUGAAAGCCCGGGGCUUAACCCCGGAAGUGCAUUUGAAACUAAAGGGCUUGAGUAUGGGAGAGGGAAGUGGAAUUCCUGGUGUAGCGGUGAAAUGCGUAGAUAUCAGGAGGAACACCGGUGGCGAAGGCGACUUCCUGGACCAAUACUGACGCUAAGGCGCGAAGGCGUGGGUAGCAAACAGGAUUAGAUACCCUGGUAGUCCACGCAGUAAACGGUGAACACUAGGUGUAGCGGGUAUUGACCCCUGCUGUGCCGCAGCUAACGCAUUAAGUGUUCCGCCUGGGGAGUACGGUCGCAAGAUUA